rnacentral:tRNA from 1 species
GCGGGCAUAGCUCAAUUGGCAGAGCGCCAGCCUUCCAAGCUGGCCGUUGCGGGUUCGAGCCCCGCUGCCCGCU